AGGCAUGCUUGUUGUACAGGUCCCGGGUGU
rnacentral:piRNA from 1 species